rnacentral:rRNA from 1 species
UUUGGCUUACGUCUACUCUCGUGGAGGAGCUGGUGCAGGAUGGAAUAGGUGAGCUAGGGGUGGGGGUCGGUUGUGGGGCGUGGUGAGGAAGGGUAGAAGGAGGGGGUCGGCCGAAGGGGCUGCCUCGCGAGACAGGGUGCGGUGCGGCCGAUCUCCUUAGGGUACGUGGUGCGUCCUCACGGGUGGAGUGGACGCGGUGGGGAGGUUGGAGGAGAACGUGGUGGUACGGGGCUGGGUAGACUGAAGGUAGAGAUGGUCGGGCUAGGUCUAGCCCCAGCUCGCGCAGCCAUCGGCAGUGGGCGAGGCCGGUGGUGGGUGCCGGUGGGUGGGGGCUGGUGGUGGGUGGCGGCGGGAAGGGCCGGUGGCGGGUCUGGUGGUGUAGGGCGACGGGCGGGGCCGGUGGUCGGUCGUGACGACAUAGGUGGUGGAGAGGAGUGGAGGAGGAAGCCACCUAGGCGGGGCACCACUCCCUAAACCCACCACGUGCAGGCGCAGGUACGGCGGCCCCAACAGGGGACGACCACGGGUUGAUCCACUCCAGGGGUGGCGGGACAGGGAGGAGACGUCGUUGUUUUAGACCCUACGGGUCGUACAGCUGUUCCCGAUAGGGGUCCAGUUUGCACUAAGACGGAGAUGACGGUGGACGUCACGGGUGGAGCGGCGCAACGUCAGGCAGCGGACGAGUGAAGUUGGGGCCGGUAGGAAACGUCGGGCGGAGCGUACGUCAUGAGGUAAGAAUUAGGAAAGAACGUCAAGCCAAACAACAGGUUGACUCGUGGACUCAUAAGGGAACGUCAAUACACAAACAGGUAACAUCAAGUUAGGUAAACCUUUUUUACACAGUUCAGGGGGGAGAGACGACAAGGCAGUGGAUUAAGGAGAGAUGGGGGAGAAAAAACGUGUGUUUAAAGAAUUAUAAAAAACACAAAAAACCUUAAAACAAUAACUAAAAUCACUUUAGUCACGUCAUUUUAGAGAUUACGUUAAAUUAUUUUAGAGAUACGUCAAGCGGGUUACAAAAACUCACCGAGCGUGACGUGAAGUGAGGACUCUCUCGAGGCCACGAUAAAAAGAACGAGAACGGACUGCCGCUGCGGUGAGGGACCGGCACCGGGACACGCCACUUCUGUUACCUUCGUCGCUGCUCGACGUGUACACCACGCCAUACACUCUAAAUCAAGCCACCCACAUACCCGACGCGCCGAACGGCCACUAACCGAGUACGCACGUCAGGUGAUAACCUGGACUACGUAAAACAAAACACACACCGUUUCCACCCUGUGGGGGAGGUGGGGCACGUCACGCGAACGAGAAGGGUAUUCCGAGUGGCAGGUGUAGUACCCUGGGGAGACAUGUUGUGUGGGGCACAUCACAACACUUAGUGAAAGUUCUCACAACCCCAAGUGGACGGCAGCAGAUACGCCAGGUAAGAACAAGUAAAAAAAUAUUUUUCCUAUUUUCUUAGGUACGUCGAGCGAACUGGGAACAUACGCCACGCCAAAAAGCAGACUUCGUCAC